rnacentral:rRNA from 1 species
AUCCUUCGGGAUGAGUGGCGGACGGGUGAGUAACGCGUGAGUAUCUGCCCUAAGGUGGGGGACAACCAUUGGAAACGAUGGCUAAUACCCCAUAUGCCGAGAGGUGAAAGGUUUACUGCCUUGGGAUGAGCUCGCGUCUGAUUAGCUAGAUGGUGGGGUAACGGCUUACCAUGGCGACGAUCAGUAGCUGGUCUGAGAGGAUGAUCAGCCACACUGGGACUGAGACACGGCCCAGACUCCUACGGGAGGCAGCAGUGGGGAAUUUUCCGCAAUGGGCGAAAGCCUGACGGAGCAACGCCGCGUGAGGGAGGAAGGUCUUUGGAUUGUAAACCUCUUUUCUCAAGGAAGAUAAUGACGGUACUUGAGGAAUCAGCAUCGGCUAACUCCGUGCCAGCAGCCGCAGUAAUACGGGGGAUGCAAGCGUUAUCCGGAAUUAUUGGGCGUAAAGCGUCCGUAGGCGGCCAGAUAAGUCUGUUGUUAAAGCGUGCAGCUCAACUGCAUAUCGGCAAUGGAAACUAUUUGGCUAGAGUGUGGUAGGGGUAGAGGGAAUUCCCGGCGUAGCGGUGAAAUGCGUAGAUAUCGGGAAGAACACCAGUGGCGAAAGCGCUCUGCUGGGCCACAACUGACGCUGAUGGACGAAAGCUAGGGGAGCGAAAGGGAUUAGAUACCCCCGUAGUCCUAGCCGUAAACGAUGAACACUAGGUGUUGUCUGUAUCGACCCGGACAGUGCCGUAGCUAACGCGUUAAGUGUUCCGCCUGGGGAGUACGCACGCAAGUGUGAAACUCAAAGGAAUUGACGGGGGCCCGCACAAGCGGUGGAGUAUGUGGUUUAAUUCGAUGCAACGCGAAGAACCUUACC